rnacentral:rRNA from 1 species
GUCUACGGCCAUGCCACCCUGAACAAACCCGAUCCCAUCUGAUCUCAGAAGCUAAGCAGGGUCAGGCCUGGUUAGUACUUGGAUGGGAGACCACCUAGGAAGACCAGGUGCUGUAGGUG